AAACAUUACAAAAUAGAUUUACUAAAGCAAACACGAUAAUUCAGACCAGCAAACAGGCAGCCAGCACCAACGGAAACCAUCCGAGAACCCACGGGCUGAUUACCCAGGGGACCAGCUCUCAGGGCUGCUUGUGCGAGGGAACAAAAGCGAGGAGUCCGGGUCACGGCCCCUCCCCACGAAACAGAAGCACUCAGCUCGCCCUGUCGUUGUUCGGCUAAGUGACUCACGCCACGCUCCACACAUUAGCCCGUGUCAGCUAUUUUAGAGACAGGUGGCUUCUGUCAGCCCCGUUACCACCAGAGUCCGUGGGCGCAAGGUGAGAGACUGUCUGGCUCACCUCUCCCACCGCCUCCUUCCUUUCAGGUCCAGAACGCUCUCACUUGCAAAGUGCUCCCGGGCACGGCCUGCGGAGCACACCCUGGCUCCGUCAUUAGCAGAGCAGUAACUCACUGUCAGGGGUUGAAAGCUCGCCCAAGCCUGCGGUGAAUCAGGAUGAGUUAAAUGCUCUCUAGUGAGAAGCACGCAGCUCACCCGGAGGAGGAGGAGUUCCAUAUCCUGAGCGCUGCCCAAGGAGCCAGGAGAGCUGAUCUAAGCAAAUCCUGGCUCACACGGACCCGGCUCAACGAGGGGCGUGCGCACUCCAGCAAAGGGGUCUCUCAGGCUAAGUCACCACAACCCACCGCGAACGCCCCCCACGCUGGCCCUCACUUCACCUGACCCUCCUCUGCAGGCCCAUCCUAGGGACGCUGCCGCCUCUGUGAACCUGCUCUCCCAGCCGAGUUCAGGGUCCUACUCCUCAGCCACCCACUUCCUUUCACUGACCGGCACUUUAGCAACGUGGAAGCAACGCAGUUCUUUUGAGUUACUAUUAAGGAGGGAGAGGCUGGUUAAUUCAGCAUGACCUCAACAAGAAACACUUUUUUAGGCUCUGGAAAGGCUAAGAGUCUUGAGAAAUUAUUUCCCUUCCUUAUUCAUUUCUUGAUUGCCUUUAGCAAAAUUACAUAUGUUAAAGGAAUAUCUAAAAUGUACUUAUCAACAUUAAGACCAUAUUAUGAAGGGAAGUGAUCGUGAUGUUAAAAAAUGUCAAAUUCAUCUUGCUUACACUGUUAAAACUGGGAAGACGGUCAUUUGUGAGGUACUAGUGAACCUUUUAAUAUUGCAUUUGAUCAUAAAUGGAAUGUCUCCCAGACAUGAGACAGACUGUUGCCAAAAUUAUUUAAUUCUCAGGGAAGAAAUGGUCCAGUCAGUGGUUAGCUUAUGGCUAUAUUUAAGAUAAGCGUAUUUCCACAAAUAUUUUGACACAGGGAACUCCGCUGAGCCCUCCAGUACUGGCCCUGGCUGCCUUAGCAUUGUGUCCAGUGGUGAUUCAAGACCUGUCUGGCACAGAGGAAAGUAAUGUUAAAUAAAUCAUUUAACUUCCAAGGCAUGACUGUAAGUGUGUCAAGCUGCAGGACAGAUAAAAGAGAAAUGUUCUUCCCUCACUGAUACUCGAUCUUCUGUUGGGACACUCCUGUAUUAUCCAGGCCAAGGACAACUUCCUUUUGUACCUAAAAUAGUUACAGUUUGUAAAAUGAUAUCUUCUUUCUAUCACUUGCAACAGAUGGUGCAAACAGCGCCUUCUCAUUAGUUACCUCCAUUUCUGCACAUCAUCCAUUUCCUGGAUGGACACUGUCUUUUAUACACAGGAAUCCCCUUCGGUGUUUCCAGACUUGUUGCUAGUAGCAAGUCACCUCUGUCACCCAAAUAUUACUUUCAGUUCCUUAGGCUGUGUCUUUCUUUUU